rnacentral:lncRNA from 1 species
CAGCAUUUGUGUCAUUGGUUUAUUGACUAGUUUUAUGUUUAUUAAUUGGUUAUAGUUACAGCAGCAUCAAGGAUAAGGAAGUUGUCGCAGAUUCAAGAUUAUGGAAUAUUCUCACUACUAUAUGACAGUGUUAUAUUGCUAUUAAGAAUAAGAAUGACUGUGAUAUAGGCUCAUCUUAUAUAUGAUCCUAUCCUGUUAUUUUAAAUUGAGAUUCUGAACAUUCAUCAUUUUAUUAGCUAAAAACUAAUAUGAACGUAUUUUAUUUUUCUUCCAUA